AUACGUAGGGGGCGAGCGUUGUCCGGAAUGACUGGGCGUAAAGGGCGUGUAGGCGGCGGUGUAAGUCUGGAGUGAAAGUCCCGCAUUCAAUGUGGGAAUUGCUUUGGAUACUGCAGUGCUAGAGUGCGGAAGAGGUAAGUGGAAUUCCCAGUGUAGCGGUGAAAUGCGUAGAGAUUGGGAGGAACACCAGUGGCGAAGGCGGCUUGCUGGGCUGUAACUGACGUUGAUGCUCGAAAAUGUUGGGAAGAAACAGGGUUAGAUUCCCUGGUAGACCACACCGUAAACGAUGAGUGCUAGGUGGUUGAGGGUUUCCGCCCUUAAGUGCCGCAGCUAACGCAUUAAGCACUCCGCCUGGGGAGUACGACCGCAAGGUUGAAACUCAAAGGAAUUGACGGGG
rnacentral:rRNA from 1 species